GUCAGGGUGGCCGAGUGGUUAAGGCGCCUGCCUCAAGAGCAGGUCCCCCUGUGGGAUCGUGGGUUCGAAUCCCACCCCUGACA